rnacentral:tRNA from 1 species
GGCCUGCUAGCUCAGUCGCUUAUAGCGUCGUGCUAAUAACGCGAAGGUCGUAGGUUCGAUCCCUGCGCAGGCCA